rnacentral:rRNA from 1 species
UCUUGCGCAAUGGGCGCAAGCCUGACGACGCAACGCCGCGUGGAGGAUGAAGAUCUUCGGGUCGUAAACUCCUGUCGAGUGGGAAGAAACGCUUCGGGGCUAAUAUCCCCGGAGUUUGACGGUACCACUAAAGGAAGCCCCGGCUAACUCCGUGCCAGCAGCCGCGGUAAUACGGGGGGGGCAAGCGUUGUUCGGAAUUACUGGGCGUAAAGGGCCAGUAGGCGGCCAACUAAGUCGGAUGUGAAAUCCCCAGGCUCAACCUGGGAACUGCAUCCGAUACUGGAUGGCUUGAAUUCGGGUGAGGGAUGCAGAAUUCCAGGUGUAGCGGUGAAAUGCGUAGAUAUCUGGAGGAAUACCGGUGGCGAAGGCGGCAUCCUGGACCGACAUUGACGCUGAACGGCGAAAGCUAGGGGAGCAAACG